rnacentral:misc_RNA from 1 species
GGCAGUGAAGCAAUACAAAAUUAAAGAUGUCCGUAGCCACCAUAACCUCACUCCCUCCACAAUGGCUUUCCAUUCUUGCAGUCUUUCUUCUUCCAAUUCUCACUUUGCUUCUCUUCAGAGGCAAAGACGACAACAAAAAGAAAGGACUCAAGAUCCCUCCAGGACCUCGACGGCUUCCCCUCAUUGGCAAUCUUCACCAAUUGAGUAGCCAACCUUACGUCGAUUUUUGGAAAAUGGCCAAGAAGUAUGGCCCUGUCAUGCAACUUCAACUCGGUAGAUGCCCUACUGUUGUACUCUCCAGCACUGAAACCUCCAAGGAACUCAUGAAAGACCGAGAUGUUGAGUGCUGUAGCCGCCCACUGUCAGUAGGUCCAGGACAAUUGUCUUAUAACUUCUUGGAUGUUGCAUUUUCUCCAUACUCAGAUUACUGGAGAGAAAUGCGUAAGCUCUUCAUUUUUGAGCUUCUUAGCAUGAGAAGAGUGCAGACGUUUUGGUAUGCAAGGGAGGAGCAAAUGGACAAGUUGAUUGAAAUCUUGGAUGGUUCUUAUCCAAACCCAGUUAAUCUCACUGAGAAAGUGUUCAACAUGAUGGAUGGGAUCAUCGGUACAAUUGCAUUUGGAAGGACUACUUAUGCUCAGCAAGAGUUCAGGGAUGGUUUUGUGAAGGUGCUGUCUGCAACCAUGGACAUGUUGGCUAGCUUCCACGCAGAGAAUUUCUUCCCAGUUGUUGGAAGAUAUAUUGAUUCUUUGACAGGGGCUCUUGCUAAGAGGCAGCAGACAUUUGCCGACGUCGAUCGCUACUUCGAGAAGGUUAUUGAACAGCAUCUUGAUCCUAAUAGGCCUAAACCAGAAACUGAAGACAUUGUUGACGUGUUGAUUGGGUUGAUGAAGGACGAGAGUGCCUCUUUCAAAAUCACCAAGGAUCACCUGAAGGCUAUUCUCAUGAACGUCUUUGUGGGUGGAAUCGAUACAAGUGCAGUGACAAUAACAUGGGCAUUCUCAGAGCUGCUCAAGAACCCAAAACUGAUGAAGAGGGCACAAGAAGAAGUGAGAAGAGCUGUUGGUCCGAAUAAGAGAAGAGUAGAAGGAAAAGAGGUGGAGAAGAUCAAAUACAUUGAUUGCAUAGUAAAAGAAACAUUUAGGAAGCAUCCACCAGUUCCACUACUAGUUCCACACUUCAGCAUGAAGCAUUGCAAGAUUGGUGGAUAUGAUAUUCUCCCAGGAACAACAAUUUACGUCAACGCCUGGGGUAUGGGAAAAGAUCCUACCAUCUGGGACAAUCCUGAAGAGUUUUUCCCAGACAGAUUUUUGAACAGUGAAGUUGAUUACAGAGGGUCUCACUUUGAGUUGGUACCAUUUGGAGCUGGUCGCAGGAUUUGCCCUGGUUUGGCUAUGGGCACCACUGCUGCGAAGUACAUAUUGUCAAAUCUUUUGUAUGGAUGGGACUAUGAGAUGCCUAGAGGACACAAGUUUGAGGACUUCCCUCUGAUUGAGGAAGGUGGCCUGACAGUCCACAACAAGCAGGAUAUCAUGGUCAUUCCUAAAAAACACAAAUGGGGUUGAUUGAUUUUGCUUAAUUAAUCAUCCUGCUACCAAAAAAUUACCUCUGCUUGCCAUAUAUUCUCCGUAUUCUCUUCUGCAUUAAUAAAAUGGAAUGAAGUUUUUGUACUUCCCUCUGUUUCAGAACCUAGACUAGCUACAAAUUAUCCCCUCUGCUACUAAAAACUUAGCUCUUCUUUAUUUUCCCUUCUGCAAUGAUAGAAUAGUGCUUUACUGUUUUAAUUUUCAACACAUGUAUCUUGUCCUUCGCUUCAUGUUAGUGAUUAUAAGGUAUUAAUAAAAUGGUGUUCUUCAGCAGACUAAAGGCCUCAUCUCUUCAUCUCUAUCUCUCAUCUGCAUCUUCUCUUCUAUACUGAAUUUUAUUGCCUAUAUAAAUUUAUAACAGGAUUGCGUUGCAGGCACUCCUUGAGAACCUCCAAGGUGCAUAUUAGGCCAGCUCCUGGAGGAUGAUGAUCCAUUUUUCUCAAGUGGACCACCUCCAAAAUCUGGACUUGGAGAGGACUGGAUUGAUAGAUGCCUCCUAUCUGUGGGAAAAAUUCUUCUAUGAAAAUAACACUUGUUUUCACAUCAUUAAUCAAUAUACAUAAAUUUCAACAAUUAAUGCCAAGUGACAAUACUAGUAUUCUUUUUUUCUUUUUUUACUGAGA